GAGUUUGAUUAUGGCUCAGGAUGAACGCUGGCGGCGUGCUUAACACAUGCAAGUCGAACGGAACGUAACCGAGGAAAUUUUUCGAAGUGGAAUCGGUUACGUUUAGUGGCGGACGGGUGCGUAACACGUGGGCAACCUGCCCUGCUUUUCGGAAUAACGCCGGGAAACCGUCGCUAAUGCCGAAUGAUAUGAGAAGAAGGCAUCUUCUUUUCAUCAAAGAAUUUCGAAGCAGGAUGGGCCCGCGCCGGAUUAGCUGGUUGGUGAGGUAACGGCUCACCAAGGCGACGAUCCGUAGCCGACCUGAGAGGGUGAUCGGCCACACUGGAACUGAGACACGGUCCAGACUCCUACGGGAGGCAGCAGUGGGGAAUAUUGCACAAUGGGCGAAAGCCUGAUGCAGCAACGCCGCGUGAGCGAUGAAGGCUUUCGAGUCGUAAAGCUCUGUCGCAGGGGAAGAAAAAGACGUACCCU
rnacentral:rRNA from 1 species